AUUGAACGCCGGCGGCAUGCCUUACACAUGCAAGUCGAACGGCAGCGGACCUUCGGGUGCCGGCGAGUGGCGAACGGGUGAGUAAUAUAUCGGAACGUACCUUUCAGUGGGGGAUAACGUAGCGAAAGUUACGCUAAUACCGCAUAUUCUGUGAGCAGGAAAGCAGGGGAUCGCAAGACCUUGCGCUGAUUGAGCGGCCGAUAUCAGAUUAGCUAGUUGGUGAGGUAAAGGCUCACCAAGGCGACGAUCUGUAGCGGGUCUGAGAGGAUGAUCCGCCACACUGGAACUGAGACACGGUCCAGACUCCUACGGGAGGCAGCAGUGGGGAAUUUUGGACAAUGGGCGCAAGCCUGAUCCAGCCAUGCCGCGUGAGUGAAGAAGGCCUCGGUUGUAAG
rnacentral:rRNA from 1 species